GAAAAUUAGAUAAAGUUGGUAGGGUAAAAGCCUACCAAGACGAUGAUGUUUAGCGGGGCCAAGAGGUUGUACCGCCACACUGGGAUUGAGAUACGGCCCAGACUCCUACGGGAGGCAGCAGUAAGGAAUAUUCCACAAUAAGCGAAAGCUUGAUGGAGCGACACAGCGUGCAGGAUGAAGUCUUUCGGGAUGUAAACUGCUGUUGUAAGGGAAGAAAAAACUAGAUAGGAAAUGCUCUAGUCUUGACGGUACCUUAUUAGAAAGCGACGGCAAACUAUGUGCCAGCAGCCGCGGUAAUACAUAGGUCGCAAGCGUUAUCCGGAAUUAUUGGGCGUAAAGCGUCCGUAGGUUUUUUGUUAAGUUUAAAGUUAAAUGCUAAAGCUCAACUUUAGUCCGCUUUAGAUACUGGCAAAAUAGAAUUAUGAAGAGGUUAGCGGAAUUCCUAGUGGAGUGGUGGAAUACGUAGAUAUUAGGAAGAACACCAAUAGGCGAAGGCAGCUAACUGGUCAUAUAUUGACACUAAGGGACGAAAGCGUGGGGAGCAAACAGGAUUAGAUACCCUGGUAGUCCACGCCGUAACGAUGAUCAUUAGUUGGUGGCAAAACCACAAAAACACACAAAAAA
rnacentral:rRNA from 2 species